rnacentral:pre_miRNA from 1 species
GCCCUUAGGGCCUGAUCCAAAGCCCACUGAAGGCAGUGGGAGUCUUUCCACUGACUUCAACAGGUGCUGGAUCAGGUUCCUAGAGC